AUUGAACGCUGGCGGCAUGCUUAAAACAUGCAAGUCGAACGGAAGGGCGGGCUUCGGCCUGGUGGCGAGUGGGCGACGGGGGGGGAAUAAAUCGGAAAAUGCCCACUAGACGGUGGUAGAACGGCGGAAGACGGCUGCAAAUCGCAUACGACCGGAGGUUGAACGCGGGGGGUCUUGGGAACUCGCGGUAUUGGGGGGGCCACUGGCAGAUUAGCUAGUUGGUGGGGUAAAGGCCUACCAAGGCGACGAUCUGUGGCAGCUCUGAGAGGACGACCAGCGACACUGGAACUGAGCCACGGCCCAGACUCCUACGGGAGGCAGCAGUGGGGAAUGUUAGGCAAUGGGCGAAAGCCUGAUCCAGCAAUGCCGCGUGUGUGAUGAAGGCCUUCGGGUCGUAAAGCACUUUUGGCGGGAACGAACAGGUUUGUGCCGAUACCAAGGUUCGAUGACGGUACCCGCUGAAUAAGCACCGGCUAACUACGUG
rnacentral:rRNA from 1 species